rnacentral:snoRNA from 1 species
UUUAAUCCGACCCGGAAGUGCCUCGUGCUCUUAUGGUUUGAAUGGCUGUGUGAGUGGGGCGUGUGGUGUGAGAGUGUUUGGGUGAGUAAAUGUCGAGUGUUUGUGCGUGCGAGUGUGUAUUUCUGUUACCUACACAAUGAUCUUAUUUGAUCUGGUCGCUGAGUUGGCUCUGCUCCGAUCAGAGAUGAUAGGAAAAGCGCCCGCGAGCCUCCGUGGCGAUGAGCAGCUGGCGAGAUGUUCAGGGCCUCCACGCUUCAUACCGUGGUCAGAGAUGAUGAAUUGAUCAGAUAUACUAGUUCUGAGUGAGUUUGGGUUCUUCUCGAGCUUCACAAUGGACAAUGAGUAUAGAGGCGAUCUGAUCUAA